GAUGCAGAAACAAUGCUGCCUUCAAUAUUACUAUAAGCCUUAGUCUAGUUUAUCUACGUACUGAAUGAGAAGGCUAUUAGUUAACAAAGUACUGAUAAUCGUUUUCCCAUUCCAUUUUCAGAGUAGACUAAUAGAGUAAUUAAGUUACCGGUUUUCUCCAGGGUCAUACCCUGUGCAGAAUCUAUGGUUACCACGAGCCUAUAGACUAUAGUCACAGACAUGGAGGACAUAGCAGAGGGGUUAAUAUGAUUGAAUUAAAAUGAAUAGGUAGUCAACCUCAUUUAAUGUAGCAUUCCUGGGUUUUCUUAGGUUCUUAUCCACCUCCCUUGUACAUCGCUACCUAUAGUAGUCUGAGGAUAUAUUAACCCCUUUGCUAUGUCCACCAUGUCUGUGACUACCUAUUGAACUGAAGUGGCACUACAAGAUUCAACAAGACAUCUUAUCUUGUUCACUGAAUGCACAAAAUUGUAAGAUUAAGGCAUGAGUAACACAUGGGAAGUUAGGCAUAUGAGCAAACCCAACAUGUGAGAAUGAGAAUGAGAAUUCCCUUAUAAUAGGCAUUUCUUCAAAUCAACAUAUCAGGAAGGAUUAACUUACACCAGUUCGAUUUCCAGCCCAUCCUCUUUCUUGAGAGAAUUUUAGAAAAAACUGAUCUUAGGUGACCUAUGAAGCAUGGGUAUGUGUCCCGGGGACGAUACGCGGAAAAUACGUCCCCGGGGACGUAUUUUCUCGGCCCUUUUUUAAAUUAAUUUUUUUAAUAAAAAAUACGUUAAAAAUACGUUGAUGAUACGGUCAAAUAAGUAUUUGACAAGUAAAAAUACGUUUUAAAAGAAUUUGAACCUGAACCUUAAUAGCGCCUCCACAAUUUCGCCCCUCUUCUCCCCUCUUCUCCUCUGACCCACCCUGCUCACUGUCGCCCCUGCACAACCCCACUCGCCGCUCGCCGUCUCGCCGCCCUGCUCCUCACCGUCGCGCUGCCCUGCGCCACCCCGCCAUCGCCGUCGCGCCGCCUUGCACGCUUGGAGCGGCCGCGCCACCCCAAUAAGUGAAGCCAUGAAUACUACAAAUUCUAGUUCUACAUCUUCUUCUAUGAGGGAAGAGGAAGAGGAAGAGGAGGAGGAGAAAGGCGAUGAUGAGUGAAUUAGUAGUGUUUUACUUAUAUUCUUGGUGAAUUAUGAAUUUAUAAUAUAUAUAUAUAUAAUAUAUUUUAAAUAAAAAAACUAAAACGUAUUUUUGA